rnacentral:rRNA from 1 species
GUGGGGAAUAUUGCGCAAUGGGGGCAACCCUGACGCAGCAAUACCGCGUGAGUGAAGAAGGUUUUCGGAUCGUAAAACUCUUUUAUUGGGGAAGAAGAAGUGACGGUACCCAAUGAAGAAGUCCCGGCUAACUACGUGCCAGCAGCCGCGGUAAUACGUAGGGGACAAGCGUUGUCCGGAAUCACUGGGCGUAAAGGGCGCGUAGGCGGUUUUAUAAGUCAGAUGUGAAAGGUACCGGCUCAACCGGUGACGUGCAUUUGAAACUGUAAGACUUGAGUACUGGAGAGGCAAGUGGAAUUCCUAGUGUAGCGGUGAAAUGCGUAGAUAUUAGGAGGAACACCGGUGGCGAAGGCGGCUUGCUGGACAGAUACUGACGCUGAGGUGCGAAAGCGUGGGGAGCGAACAGGAUUAGAUACCCGGGUAGUCC